GAUGAACGCUAGCGGCAGGCCUAAUACAUGCAAGCUGAACGGUAAGAUUUGUAGCAAUACGAGUCCUAGAGUAGCGUAAGGGUGCGUAACACGUAUGCAAUCUGCCCGCAACAGGAGGAUAGCUUAGCGAAAGUUGAGAUAAGACUCCAUAAGAUCACACGAGGGCAUCUGAGGGUGAUUAAACUACAAGGGGUUGCGGAUGAGCAUGCGACUGAUUAGUUA
rnacentral:rRNA from 1 species